rnacentral:rRNA from 1 species
GUGGGGAAUAUUGGACAAUGGGGGGAACCCUGAUCCAGCCAUGCCGCGUGUGUGAAGAAGGCCUUUUGGUUGUAAAGCACUUUAAGCGAGGAGGAGGCUACCGAGAUUAAUACUCUUGGAUAGUGGACGUUACUCGCAGAAUAAGCACCGGCUAACUCUGUGCCAGCAGCCGCGGUAAUACAGAGGGUGCAAGCGUUAAUCGGAUUUACUGGGCGUAAAGCGCGCGGAGGUGGCCAAUUAAGUCAAAUGUGAAAUCCCCGAGCUUAACUUGGGAAUUGCAUUCGAUACUGGUUGGCUAGAGUAUGGGAGAGGAUGGUAGAAUUCCAGGUGUAGCGGUGAAAUGCGUAGAGAUCUGGAGGAAUACCGAUGGCGAAGGCAGCCCUCUGGCCUAAUACUGACACUGAGGUGCGAAAGCAUGGGGAGCAAACAGGAUUAGAUACCCGAGUAGUCC